rnacentral:snoRNA from 1 species
AUCCUCCAGACUCCUUAUUCAUCUUCCCUAAACACUGGGAGAAGUGGUUAUAAAGGGGGGAAAGGACAUGGAAAUUGUCUUAAAUUCUUUUGUAACACAUAA